UUUUGGUGGCAAGCAUGUACAGGACAAAUAAUUGGCGAAAGAAAUGAGUACGUAAACUGUCAAUGUCUUAUGACACAUAAUUUGGCCCUGAUUCAGCAGCAGUGCCUGAUAUUGCCAUGUAACGUUAUAAGCCAUUCAUUGCUUGCAUGUUUGUUAGCAAGCUAACUAGCUACUUGCAUACCGGUAACUUAAAACGAGAAGGCUAACCAAAGAUAGUGGACAAAUUAAGAGGUCUCCCUCAAACCGUUAACCAAAAGGUCACAGUUCCAGUCUACUUAAUGGGUGUCGUUGGAUAGGGAAAAGUUUACGCCCGUUGUUGGUUCUCGGAACACCUGACCAAGCCCGCUGCUUUUGGGGCGGGGCAGAGCUCAGCCUGAGUGAGUUCCGCUCCCUCUGACCCUGGUCCCUGUCUCCAGUUCCACGUCUCGUCAUCACUCUACUCUGUCCUGGAUUCCCCACUCUACUACUCCCUUGGAUUCCCUUCCGGACCUGCUUACCCUGUCCUAACCCCUCUCGCUCCAGCCUCAGCCUCCGCACCUGGUUUUCUGCAACCCACCCAAGCUUCCCCUGGUCUGCACUCCAUCUUCCCCCUGUGUUUCAAUAAAUACCUUGGUUAAUACAUCCCAGUCCCCUCGUCUGAGUCUGCUCUUGGGUUCCCAUGUUCCACUCCGUGUAACGAUCUUCACAUACAGUACAUUUAAAUACUAUUCAAAACCAUCAUGGUGUCCUUGAUCCGCCCUCUCAAAACUUUUUAUUACAAUCUUUUUCUCUUCCAGCAAAUGUAUAGCCUAGUUAAGCAGACUGACCACUGCCGCUCACGUAUAGUUUAAUUUCACUUGUCAAGUGAAAUAAAAUGUAAGCCAUCACGUGAUCAGGCUGGUUCUACCAGGCAAGCGAAAUUAUCUGUGCUAAAAGUAUCUGUUUUCCCUCCCAGUGUACACAUGCAAAGCCUAUGAAUGACACACAAUACACAGGUUACUAUGGUUGUAAAGGCACUUGAUAGGACUCCACAUUCCUAGCUUUAGAUAUAACUAAUCCACAUAUUAUGGUUCUUGAUUCUGUGUUCCGUUUAAAAUAGGUGUAAGUCAUCGGCCUUUAUGCUUUCACUGAUCAAUCAUGUUGGCCCACACAGCAACAACAACUUAAAUACGCUUAAGUUAUGUCAUAGCCCUCCCAGGUAAAUAUAAAUGUAACUUGUAACAUUUCUCACGUAAAAAAAUAUCCUUAGGUUAUAUCUAAAAAUACAUUUGUACAAACUCUUU